AAACUUUUCAGCUAGAGUAUGAUAGAGGAAAGCAGAAUUUCUAGUGUAGAGGUGAAAUUCGUAGAUAUUAGAAAGAAUACCAAUUGCGAAGGCAGCUUUCUGGAUCAUUACUGACACUGAGGAACGAAAGCAUGGGUAGCGAAGAGGAUUAGAUACCCUCGUAGUCCAUGCCGUAAACGAUGUGUGUUAGACGUUGGAAAUUUAUUUUCAGUGUCGCAGCGAAAGCGAUAAACACACCGCCUGGGGAGUACGACCGCAAGGUUAAAACUCAAAUGAAUUGACGGGGACCCGCACAAGUAGUGGAGCAUGUGGUUUAAUUCGAAGAUACGCGCAGAACCUUACCAACACUUGACAUGUUCGUCGCGACUUUAAGAGAUUAGAGUUUUCGGUUCGGCCGGACGAAACACAGGUGCUGCAUGGCUGUCGUCAGCUCGUGUCGUGAGAUGUUGGGUUAAGUCCCGCAACGAGCGCAACCCUCACUUUUAGUUGCCAUCAUUAAGUUGGGCACUCUGAAAGAACUGCCAGUGAUAAGCUGGAGGAAGGUGGGGAUGACGUCAAGUCCUCAUGGCCCUUACGUGUUGGGCUACACACGUGCUACAAUGGUAUCUACAACAGGAAGCAAGGCUGCGAAGUUAAGCAAAUCCCUAAAAGAUACCUCAGUUCGGAUUGCACUCUGCAACUCGAGUGCAUGAAGCUGGAAUUACUAGUAAUCGUGGAUCAGCGUGCCACGGUGAAUGCGUUCCCGGGUCUUGUACACACCGCCCGUCACACCAUGGGAGUUGGUUCUACCUUAAGGCGAGGUUUCAAACCCUUGACCACGGUAUAGUCAGCGACUGGGGUGAAGUCGUAACAAGGUAGCCGUA
rnacentral:rRNA from 1 species